UCCUUGGUCGUGAGCAUAGAAUGUAAAUUAGAAUGGGAAAACAAUAACCAAAUCCCCUUUUUAGAUGUCUUAAUCAUCAGAACUAAUAACAUCGACAAAUUCACUGUCUUCAGGAAAGCGACAUUCUCAUUUUCAUACAUAGAUUUUUAAAGCUAUCAUGAUAUUUAAGUUAAACUUGGGAUCGCAAGUAACUUAUUUCUUAGAGCCCUGAGAAUUUGCUUCCCAGAUUUUCUUAACAAAGAACUUGAAGCAAACAGAAAUCAACUUAUCUUGUUAAAAUACCCCAAGCACAUAAUAGAAAAAGCCAUACAUAAAGCAAAGAGAAUUUGCUACAAACCCACAGAAAACGAAGAAGAGAAGAAAAUGACAAACAAAAUCAUAAUCCCUCACGUGAAUAAUUUACGAGAAAUCACACAAACCUUAGGUCACUCCAACCCUUUUGUCUUCACUUAUCCAAAUACCUUUGGGAAAUCCUUAAUUAAUGUUCAGCAGAAAACCAGAUUCUAAAGAUGUAGAAGUUUAUGAAUCCCCUGAAGGGAUUGUGAUAGGUCAUACUAUAGAUUCAUAGGAAAAUCUCUCAGAAAGAUUAACUCAACAUAAGUGCUCCGUUAGUUAAGGACAACAUAGUUCAGCAGUUUUCCAUCACAUAAACAACAUGAACCAUACCAUGGAUUGGAACUCAUCCCAAAUUUUAUACAAAAGCUGCUGUUGAUACAAAUGUCAGAUGGUAGAACCUUCACUGAUAAAACAACAAGAUUGUCACAUUUAAUAUUAUAAUUACUGUAUAAUGUUCCAAUUAUACCGCUGAAUACAUUUCAAGUUUGUAACUAGCGUGUCGGUGGUUACUGGGCUCGUUAAGUGUUUAUUAGGCAGCCAGGUUCUUGAGACAUCUUCGACACUGGAACUGAGUGGUCGGGGUCUUUCUCUGUCCAAAGCUACAUGAUUUUGGGUGCUCCCAUGCUUCGUGAACUUGGGAAAACUCUGUUACCUGUGUGGUUGUUACCUGUGUGGUACUGUUGCUGUUACCUGUGUGGUAUUGUUACCUGUGUGGUAUUGUUACCUGUGUGGUACUGUUGCUGUUACCUGUGUGGUAUUUUCUUAAUAUAUCUCUCAACGUACGAGGACCCAACACUACGAAUGGACUGAUUAUGCGAGUGCUGUAUUUUGUUCCAGUGACCAUUUUGGGUGCAGUACACACACCACAGUUCGAGCUUCUGGGUGCAAGUUGUCUAUGAUUCCUGUGGGUCCGUGGCACCACUUAUGCAACCUGCUGUGGAUCACAGCUCACAGCUCUAGUGGAUGGGCCAAGACGGGCUCGUCAUUCAGCACCUAUAUGCCAGUGUUGCCUAGAUGUAGCAUGAAAGCUGUUUGUCAUUUGCAUACCCUCUGUGUUAAAUUGAUCCUAAUUACCAUAGUGUUAAAUAAAUUGUUAUGAUUUUA